rnacentral:rRNA from 1 species
GACGAACGCUGGCGGCGUGCUUAACACGUGCAAGUCGAACGGAAAGGCCCUGCUUUUGUGGGGUGCUCGAGUGGCGAACGGGUGAGUAACACGUGAGUAACCUGCCCUUGACUUUGGGAUAACUUCAGGAAACUGGGGCUAAUACCGGAUAGGAGCUCCUGCUGCAUGGUGGGGGUUGGAAAGUUUCGGCGGUUGGGGAUGGACUCGCGGCUUAUCAGCUUGUUGGUGGGGUAGUGGCUUACCAAGGCUUUGACGGGUAGCCGGCCUGAGAGGGUGACCGGCCACAUUGGGCCUGCGAUACGGCCCAGACUCCUACGGGAGGCAGCAGUGGGGAAUAUUGCACAAUGGGCGGAAGCCUGAUGCAGCAACGCCGCGUGCGGGAUGACGGCCUUCGGGUUGUAAACCGCUUUCGCCUGUGACGACGCGUGAGUGACGGUAAUGGGUAAAGAAGCACCGGCUAACUACGUG